rnacentral:lncRNA from 1 species
CUCUCCACUAGCAGCUGUUCUCGGUGCUGCGUCAAUUUUUGCUUCUCUCUGACUGCUUGGCUCCGUACCUGGCUCCGAAACCAAUCUCCCGUCUCCCGCGCCUCCCCACAUUCAUUGCUCCUGCCCCGUCUAGGGCUCAGUUCUUACCUGUGCACUGCCUGACAGUCUUCUCACCACCCUCCGCCAAGCGGUCUAUUUAUAUAAACCCAUAUCGGAAUGGAUCAGUCCCAUGAUUAAAAUGUUAAAAGCUUCCCCUUUAUCCCUUCACAAUAAAGUCCUAGCUCGUUACUGAACCAUCCCUGCCUGUCCAAUCACGUCCUUAUCCUUCCACAUCACAGCCAGAGAGAUUAUUCUUCCAGUUGUAUAUCAGAUUGUUCAUUUCUUUCCAGUCCCAGCACCAAAGUCCAAGCCACCAUCAUCUCUCACCUUGGCUUCUGCAAUAGACUCUCAGCUGUUCCUGAGUUCAUCAUUGCCCACAUCCAAUUCACUGUUGGCACAGUUGACAGAGUUAUCUUUUUAAAAUUUAAAUCGGAUCAUGUCAUUCUCCUGUUAAAACCUUCAGUGUCUCCUCAAGGCUGUCCUUAAGACAAUCCUUAAAUGGUUUACAAAUCUGACUCCCUUUCAAUCUCAUUAGCAGCAUUGUCACCUCCUUCACAAAUUCUAAACUAGACUCUCUAAAAUGCUUUUCGUUAUCUGGAAUACUAUUGCCUCUGCCUGGGGCCUUUGUCCAUAUUGUUUCUCUCACAGAAACCCACUUCCCUCCACUCCCAACCUUUCUGCUUCUCAUCAGGCUAAUCAUUAUUCUCAGGAAUCCUUCUGGAUGCAACUUCAUUUCCCCUGGGGAGACUCUCCUGACCCUCCAGUCUGGGUUAGUCGCAUCCUGUGUGCUCUCAGACCCUGAGCUUUUCUCUGUCACAGCCUGAUCAAGCUGAAUCAUCUGUCCCUCUGUGCAAGGCUGGCACACUGCCCAAGGUGGAUCUUGACUGCCUUUCGUUUCAUUCACCAUUUACUGAAGUUGUGUGUGCGUGUGUAUACCAGACCCCACGCUAAGGACUGGGGAAAAGGAUGAUCAUACCUGGCUUGUUCCUGAUAGAGCCCAGAGACCACCUGGGAAGACAAGUAAUCAGUCUUCAGGUUGAAAAGCUACACCCUAGGAACUACAGCUGAGGAGCCCACCUCCACAUCUGGAACUUAUUCAGAUGAUGAGAUCAUGGACCUUGAUCCUGAGUCUGACGCUGUAAUGUGCUGAAUUUUGCUGGGUGGGUAAGAGUAUCAAGGAGUGCCUCCUCUUGAGUCUGGGUGGCCUCUGCGAUUGCUUUGACCAAUAGAAUACUGCAGAAGUGACACUGUGCUACUUUCCAAGCCCAGGAAAUUCAGACUGGUAACUACUAUUUCCUGCCUCUUGGGAACACUGUCCCUUGGAGCCCACCACGUAUUUGGCUGGAGAGAUCAUAUUAAAACUACACGGAGAGAUAGAGGGGCCUAAAUGAAGCCAGCUUUCCAGCCACUCCUGCCAAGGCUUAAGGAAUAUGAGUGAAGGCUCAAGGCAUGUGAGUGAAUACCAUGCAGUGACCCCAACUGACUUCAUGUGGAACAGCAGAAGUGACCUGCCUAGCCCUGA